CUCACUUUGUGUAAUAACACACACGUAUCGGCACAUAUUCCGGGGUGCCCUUUGGGGUCGGUAAUAUGGGAUACGUGGAGGCUUAAC
rnacentral:sRNA from 1 species